GUUUUGGAGUGCAGGCGUGAAUAGUCCUUUCUGUCCUGCUUUGAGUACUGCUGUUGGGUGCCUUGGGGGGACCUUAAGGGAGCUCGGAAGUUGAGACGUGGUGAGUGCGAGAUCACUGCCCACAAAGGGGAGGAGCAGGCGGAUGAACAGCCAGAGCUGCAAUGGUGGAUCCUCCUCCAGGGCUGCAUGGGACGACAGAUAGAUGAGGCUCUAGGACGGGCACAAAUGCUACCCGAAUGCAAACCACUCCGGAGAUCUGUAAAAGGACUGGCCCCGGACAGGAAGCACACUUUAAACUAGAGGCGGGAGUCAAAGCCCCGGUGAAGAUUCUGUGACGGUUCAUUGUAUAAUUUAUGAUGAUGAAGAUUGAGUUGCAUUUUGCGGAAAAGAGAUGUUGAGAUAUCUAAGGCAUUGAGAAAUCUGUCAUGCAGACAUGCACACAGGGAGAGGGAGUACCCAAACUGAUGAGAACUUACAGGAAUUGGACCAUCUAAGCCCUUAGAAAGUGAAGUCCACUGUGUCUCAAACAAAGGAUGGCAAGUGUUCAUGACAUCAAUACUACCCAAGGCUUCAGAGUCAUUGGAUUGCAGGUGUCUCUAUGGUUUCAAUUCAGCACUAUUCCAUCCAUCUUUUGGCAGAGUCAGAGCCCCGGUGAAGAUUCUGUGAGAGUUCAUUGUAUUGAAUUUAUGAUGAUGAAGAUUGAGUUGCAUUUUGCGGAAAAGAGAUGUUGAGAUACCUAAGGCAUUGAGAAAUCUGUCAUGCAGACAUGCACACAGGGAGAGGGAGUACCCAAAAUGAUGAGAAGUUACAGGAAUUGGACCAUCUAAGCCCUUAGAAAGUGAAGUCCACUGUGUCUCAAACAAAGAUCUUCAUCCACAUCUUGAAGUUUGAAGUUUGGCCAAGAAUAUACAGAGUAGAUUCUCUUUCUCAGGAUGGCAUGUGUUCAUGACAUCAAUACUACCCAAGGCUUCAGAGUCAUUGGAUUGCAG
rnacentral:lncRNA from 1 species